AACCAGUACCGUGAGGGAAAGGCGAAAAGAACCCCGGCGAGGGGAGUGAAAAAGAACCUGAAACCGUGUACGUACAAGCAGUGGGAGCACAGAGCAAUCUGUGUGACUGCGUACCUUUUGUAUAAUGGGUCAGCGACUUAUAUUCUGUAGCAAGGUUAACCGAAUAGGGGAGCCGAAGGGAAACCGAGUCUUAACUGGGCGUUAAGUUGCAGGGUAUAGACCCGAAACCCGGUGAUCUAGCCAUGGGCAGGUUGAAGGUUGGGUAACACUAACUGGAGGACCGAACCGACUAAUGUUGAAAAAUUAGCGGAUGACUUGUGGCUGGGGGUGAAAGGCCAAUCAAACCGGGAGAUAGCUGGUUCUCCCCGAAAGCUAUUUAGGUAGCGCCUCGUGAAUUCAUCUCCGGGGGUAGAGCACUGUUUCGGCAAGGGGGUCAUCCCGACUUACCAACCCGAUGCAAACUGCGAAUACCGGAGAAUGUUAUCACGGGAGACACACGGCGGGUGCUAACGUCCGUCGUGAAGAGGGAAACAACCCAGACCGCCAGCUAAGGUCCCAAAGUCAUGGUUAAGUGGGAAACGAUGUGGGAAGGCCCAGACAGCCAGGAUGUUGGCUUAGAAGCAGCCAUCAUUUAAAGAAAGCGUAAUAGCUCACUGGUCGAGUCGGCCUGCGCGGAAGAUGUAACGGGGCUAAACCAUGCACCGAAGCUGCGGCAGCGACACUGUGUGUUGUUGGGUAGGGGAGCGUUCUGUAAGCCUGUGAAGGUGUGCUGUGAGGCAUGCUGGAGGUAUCAGAAGUGCGAAUGCUGACAUAAGUAACGAUAAAGCGGGUGAAAAGCCCGCUCGCCGGAAGACCAAGGGUUCCUGUCCAACGUUAAUCGGGGCAGGGUGAGUCGACCCCUAAGGCGAGGCCGAAAGGCGUAGUCGAUGGGAAACAGGUUAAUAUUCCUGUACUUGGUGUUACUGCGAAGGGGGGACGGAGAAGGCUAUGUUGGCCGGGCGACGGUUGUCCCGGUUUAAGCGUGUAGGCUGGUUUUCCAGGCAAAUCCGGAAAAUCAAGGCUGAGGCGUGAUGACGAGGCACUACGGUGCUGAAGCAACAAAUGCCCUGCUUCCAGGAAAAGCCUCUAAGCAUCAGGUAACAUCAAAUCGUACCCCAAACCGACACAGGUGGUCAGGUAGAGAAUACCAAGGCGCUUGAGAGAACUCGGGUGAAGGAACUAGGCAAAAUGGUGCCGUAACUUCGGGAGAAGGCACGCUGAUAUGUAGGUGAAGUCCCUCGCGGAUGGAGCUGAAAUCAGUCGAAGAUACCAGCUGGCUGCAACUGUUUAUUAAAAACACAGCACUGUGCAAACACGAAAGUGGACGUAUACGGUGUGACGCCUGCCCGGUGCCGGAAGGUUAAUUGAUGGGGUCAGCGCAAGCGAAGCUCUUGAUCGAAGCCCCGGUAAACGGCGGCCGUAACUAUAACGGUCCUAAGGUAGCGAAAUUCCUUGUCGGGUAAGUUCCGACCUGCACGAAUGGCGUAAUGAUGGCCAGGCUGUCUCCACCCGAGACUCAGUGAAAUUGAACUCGCUGUGAAGAUGCAGUGUACCCGCGGCAAGACGGAAAGACCCCGUGAACCUUUACUAUAGCUUGACACUGAACAUUGAGCCUUGAUGUGUAGGAUAGGUGGGAGGCUUUGAAGUGUGGACGCCAGUCUGCAUGGAGCCGACCUUGAAAUACCACCCUU
rnacentral:rRNA from 1 species